rnacentral:lncRNA from 1 species
CGGGCCGUCUCCAUACUCCGUCUGGUAUGAGUGCCAAAUGACCAAGUCUCCAUACCCCGUCCGGUAUGAGACGACGUUCACGGUAGGGUUCCCUAUGAACCCGGUCCGUCCACCAUCUCCCAUGAUAUCUAGUGAGGCUAUCACCUUAUCUGUUAUCACUUAGUCUCCGUUACCAAGUUGAACAUAAUUACAUAAACAAUAAACAUGCACCUGGUAAUACAAUCAUAUCGUAAAUUCCCAAAUCACACAGUGGUCAAGUAAGACAGUAAUAUACAUGCAUUUAAAACCAUAGAA